rnacentral:rRNA from 1 species
GUGCCCUACGGGGGGCAGCAGUGGGGAAUAUUGCACAAUGGGGGAAACCCUGAUGCAGCGACGCCGCGUGAGUGAAGAAGUAUCUCGGUACGUAAAGCUCUCUCAGCAGGGAAGAAAAAAAGUCUUUGGCUUUGGACAGUACCUGACUAAGAAGCCCCGGCUAACUACGUGCCAGCAGCCGCGGUAAUACGUAGGGGGCAAGCGUUAUCCGGAUUCACUGGGCGUAAAGGGAGCGCAGGCGGCACGGCAAGCCUGGUGUGAAAACCCGGGGCCCACCCCCGGGAGUGCAUUGGUAACUGCCGCGC